rnacentral:rRNA from 1 species
UAAGGAAUAUUGGUCAAUGGACGAAAGUCUGAACCAGCCAUGCCGCGUGAAGGAUGACGGCCCUCUGGGUUGUAAACUUCUUUUAUCUGGGACGAAAAAAGAUCAUUCCUGAUCACUUGACGGUACCAGAGGAAUAAGCACCGGCUAACUCCGUGCCAGCAGCCGCGGUAAUACGGAGGGUGCAAGCGUUAUCCGGAUUUACUGGGUUUAAAGGGUGCGUAGGUGGGUCUGUAAGUCAGUGGUGAAAUCUUCGAGCUUAACUCAGAAUCUGCCAUUGAUACUAUAUGUCUGGAAUCAUCUUAAGGUGAGCGGAAUAUGUCAUGUAGCGGGGAAAUGCUUAGAUAUGACAUAGAACACCGAUUGCGAAGGCAGCUGGCUACACAUAUAGUGACACUGAGGCACGAAAGCGUGGGGAUCAAACA